UACGUAGGGUGCAAGCGUUGUCCGGAAUUAUUGGGCGUAAAGAGCUCGUAGGCGGUCUGUCGCGUCUGCUGUGAAAACUCAGGGCUUAACCCUGAGCUUGCAGUGGGUACGGGCAGACUAGAGUGCGGUAGGGGAGACUGGAAUUCCUGGUGUAGCGGUGAAAUGCGCAGAUAUCAGGAGGAACACCGGUGGCGGAAGGCGGGUCUCUGGGCCGUAAACUG
rnacentral:rRNA from 1 species